rnacentral:sRNA from 1 species
GCUACAAUGUAUUUCGGGUGUUCUUGAAGAACGAAAGCCGCAUCUUGCGAUCGAUAAAUCGCCAUCAACAGGGCCUCGUAUCUUGCUUAACUAAAGGAACGAUGAUCUUCACAACGGGGUCCCAGGGCGGGUAUGGCCAAGGAGAAAAUACGAUGAACAAUCAAUGGCUAUUGGCCGUCUCCCUUCUGUUUCAGGAACAUCAGGGCUUUGAAGAGCAGAUGCCUGCGCGCGCAUCUUCCUGUUGAGGCAAGGUUGGGUUAGUUGGCUGCGAGUGUUCAUGCAUGAAACAGCAGGAUAACUACGACCUUAUCCAGGCCUUUCAAAUAUGAUAAUUAAGUGGAAAAUGUAUCAAAAUAGAUCAGGGCAAAAAUAGUAUGGCUUUGACAUGUAUGGGAAGGAGUUCAUCGUUCCUGUCUCGUUGUUUGGAGGGAAUUGGUUGCUCGGCUUUUCUUUGCAUAGAAUCUGCCCUCUUGUUUGCCGACAAGUGCGGUGCAUUGAUUAAAACGAAUGCUCUGCUUUCCGCCCUCUGCUAAGAGCAUAAUCUCCAAGAUGUUGGUUUAAUCGGGGUGGAGAAAACAGGAAAUACGGCACACGGUCCAUAUCAUCCACCUUUGUAUAUUCGCUAGACUUAGCCGAAACGCCUCUUGAGAUAAGCGCCGACUUCUCAUUCAUUGUUCAUCCCAGCUUUGAGGAGUCUGCAUCAUAACAGCCAAUGCCUGGAUAUGAAGUCAAGCCCCC